UGAGUAUUCUAAGACUAGAAUGUUCAAUUCUGAGCAAAACCAAGCGGCGGACGGGUGAGUAACGCGUGGGUAACCUGCCCUAUACACAUGGAUAACAUACUGAAAAGUUUACUAAUACAUGAUAAUAUAUAUUUGCGGCAUCGCAGAUAUAUCAAAGUGUUAGCGGUAUAGGAUGGACCCGCGUCUGAUUAGCUAGUUGGUGAGAUAACUGCCCACCAAGGCGACGAUCAGUAGCCGACCUGAGAGGGUGAUCGGCUACAUUGGAACUGAGACACGGUCCAAACUCCUACGGGAGGCAGCAGUGGGGAAUAUUGCACAAUGGGCGAAAGCCUGAUGCAGCAACGCCGCGUGAACGAUGAAGGUCUUCGGAUCGUAAAGUUCUGUUGCAGGGGAAGAUAAUGACGGUACCCUGUGAGGAAGCCCCGGCUAACUACGUGCCAGCAGCCGCGGUAAUACGUAGGGGGCUAGCGUUAUCCGGAUUUACUGGGCGUAAAGGGUGCGUAGGUGGUCCCUCAAGUCGGUGGUUAAAGGCUACGGCUCAACCGUAGUAAGCCGCCGAAACUGGAGGACUUGAGUGCAGGAGAGGAAAGUGGAAUUCCCAGUGUAGCGGUGAAAUGCGUAGAUAUUGGGAGGAACACCAGUAGCGAAGGCGGCUUUCUGGACUGCAACUGACACUGAGGCACGAAAGCGUGGGUAGCAAACAGGAUUAGAUACCCUGGUAGUCCACGCUGUAAACGAUGAGUACUAGGUGUCGGGGGUUA
rnacentral:rRNA from 1 species